rnacentral:lncRNA from 1 species
UUUAAGCGCUUCUAUCUAUUUUCACAAAAUUGUCUUGGUCUUUUACAGGUUUUAGUCCUCUUUCUCCAGCAAGGCCGUAAGUCCCAUGGGAGACAGGGAUCCUGCUAUAUCCUUUCUUUGCAUCUGGACUCACCAUCAUAAUACCUAGCACAGACUGGAGCUACUGAAGUCCUGCUGCCUGGAGUUGAACUAACAAGAGGGUUGAUCAUCUGUCAGUAUCAGAUACAAGUUUGCCCGUCAAAUAUCAAAGGAGCAGAAGGAAGAAGGCGUGGGAGUUAUUAAAGUCCUUUGGUUGAGAAAUGUCUCUCCGAAGAUCUCCCAGCCUCUUAUGACCACAGAGCAUGAGAAUAGAAAUGCUAAUGUGGCAUUAUGAGUGAGAGGUAAGGACUGUCCAGCCUUUUGUGGACAGGAGGCCUUUUGGGCUGAUUGAAAUGUGUGCAUACAGUAGAACGAAUGCCACCAACGGAUGUUCCCACAGUCGGCACUCAGAGAUAGCCCAGGCAUUGUUCCUUCAAUUAUGACUGGAAGUGGUUGUUGAAGAUAUUCUGCAACAUAUUCAUACAUCAGAGAAAUAAGUAGACAUACAGAACAAGGAUCUGAGACUUUUGCUUUAUUUAACCUUGCUAUUGAUAUGCCCGGGGUUCCCAGAAUUAAUAACUCUGAAAAUACUGGUGGAGAUUUAAGAUUCAGGCUCCUAGAGCUCAAUUGUCCUUUAGUGGUUAGCUAACAAAAGAAGUUUGGACAACACUAUCAUCUGACUUUUGGGAUAAAACAAAAUAUGGAAUGACAAUGAGAGAACUCAUCCAGUGAUUCUAAA